UGGGGAAUCUUCCGCAAUGGACGAAAGUCUGACGGAGCAACGCCGCGUGUAUGAUGAAGGUCUUCGGAUUGUAAAGUACUGUCAUUGGGGAAGAACGGUUUUCUUGAAAAGAUUGAGAAGACAUGACGGUACCCAAGGAGGAAGCCCCGGCUAACUACGUGCCAGUAGCCGCGGUAAUACGUAGGGGGCAAGCGUUGUCCGGAAUUAUUGGGCGUAAAGGGCGCGUAGGCGGGCCUUUAAGUCCGGUGUGAAAGAUCAGGGCUCAACCCUGAGAGUGCAUCGGAAACUGGAGGCCUUGAGGACAGGAGAGGAAAGUGGAAUUCCACGUGUAGCGGUGAAAUGCGUAGAUAUGUGGAGGAACACCAGUGGCGAAGGCGACUUUCUGGACUGUAACUGACGCUGAGGCGCGAAAGCGUGGGGAGCAAACAGGAUUAGAUACCCUGGUAGUCCACGCCGUAAACGAUGAGUGCUAGGUGUAGAGGGUAUCGACCCCUUCUGUGCCGCAGUUAACACAAUAAGCACU
rnacentral:rRNA from 1 species